rnacentral:rRNA from 1 species
CCUACGGGAGGCAGCAGUGAGGAAUAUUGGGCAAUGGGCGCAAGCCUGACCCAGCAACGCCGCGUGGAGGAAUGAAGGCCUUCGGGUUGUAAACUCCUUUUACGGGGGAAGAGGAAGGACGGUACCCCGAGAAUAAGUCACGGCUAACUACGUGCCAGCAGCCGCGGUAAUACGUAGGUGACGAGCGUUAUCCGGAAUUACUGGGCGUAAAGCGCACGCAGGCGGCGCGCUAAGUCUGACGUGAAAUCUCUCGGCUUAACCGGGAGGGGUCGUUGGAGACUGGCGAGCUUGAGGCGAUGAGAGGGGUGUAGAAUUCCCGGUGUAGUGGUGGAAUGCGUAGAUAUCGGGAGGAAUACCAGUGGCGAAAGCGACACCCUGGCAUUAGCCUGACGCUCAGGUGCGAAAGCGUGGGGAGCGAACGGGAUUAGAUACCCUGGUAGUCCACGCCGUAAACGAUGGGCACUAGGUGCAGCGGGUGUCGACCCCUGCUGUGCCGAAGUUAACGCAUUAAGUGCCCCGCCUGGGGAGUACGGUCGCAAGGCUGAAACUUAAAGGAAUUGACGG